UAGGGAAUCUUCCGCAAUGGGCGAAAGCCUGACGGAGCAACGCCGCGUGAGUGAUGAAGGUCUUCGGAUCGUAAAACUCUGUUAUUAGGGAAGAACAAAUGUGUAAGUAACUAUGCCCGUCUUGACGGUACCUAAUCAGAAAGCCACGGCUAACUACGUGCCAGCAGCCGCGGUAAUACGUAGGUGGCAAGCGUUAUCCGGCAUUAUUGGGCGUAAAGCGCGCGUAGGCGGUUUUUUAAGUCUGAUGUGAAAGCCCACGGCUCAACCGUGGAGGGUCAUUGGAAACUGGAAAACUUGAGUGCAGAAGAGGAAAGUGGAAUUCCAUGUGUAGCGGUGAAAUGCGCAGAGAUAUGGAGGAAACCCAGUGGCAAAGGCGACUUUCUGGUCUGUAACUGACGCUGAUGUGCGAAAGCGUGGGGAUCAAACAGG
rnacentral:rRNA from 1 species